rnacentral:tRNA from 2 species
AUGGCCGAGCGGUAAGGCGGGGGACUGCAAAUCCUUUUUCCCCAGUUCAAAUCCGGGUGUCGCCU